AGUGUGCAGCCAACUAUUUCAAUUGCCUAUAUUAUAUAUAUAUAUAGGCAAUUGAAAUAGUUGGCUGCACUCU